rnacentral:SRP_RNA from 1 species
UCGUGCAGCCGGGGUGUUAGCGGUACCCUGUACCUACAAUCCGCUAUAGUAGGGGUGAUGCUGUGCCGAGGGCCUGUUUUGUCAAAGCUGCCCCUGGUAUGUGGCGUUGAUAUCCGGGUCUUACGCGGCAGGAAUCUGCGAACCGUGUCAGGCCGGGAACGGAGCAGCACUAAACAGAAGCUCCUGGGUGCCGUAAGGCAGCCUGGAUUGAGUUUACUGCCAGGGUAACGUUUGGGGAGAUUGGUUCGACGCACAGCGCACGU